GUAGGUGGCAAGCGUUGUCCGGAAUUAUUGGACGUAAAGCGCGCGCAGGUGGGUUCUUUAAGUCUGAUGUGAAAGCCCCCGGGCUCAACCGGGGAGGGUCAUUGGAAACUGGGGAACUUGAGUGCAGGAGAGGAAAGUGGAAUUCCACGUGUAGCGGUGAAAUGCGUAGAUAUGUGGAGGAACACCAGUGGCGAAGGCGACUUUCUGGCCUGUAACUGACACUGAGGCGCGAAAGCGUGGGGAGCAAACAGGAUUAGAUACCCUGGUAGUCCACGCCGUAAACGACGAGUGCUAAGUGUUGGGGGGGUUUCCGCCCCUCAGUGCUGCAGCUAACGCAUUAAGCACUCCGCCUGGGGAGUACGGUCGCAAAGACUG
rnacentral:rRNA from 1 species